UGGAUAACCUACCUAUAUGACUGGGAUAACUUCGGGAAACCGGAGCUAAUACCGGAUAAUAUAUUGAACCGCAUGGUUCAAUAGUGAAAGACGGUUUUGCUGUCACUUAUAGAUGGAUCCGCGCCGCAUUAGCUAGUUGGUAAGGUAACGGCUUACCAAGGCGACGAUGCGUAGCCGACCUGAGAGGGUGAUCGGCCACACUGGAACUGAGACACGGUCCAG
rnacentral:rRNA from 1 species